GGCGCGCGACGAGCGCUCGCGGCCGCCCCGCCGCCAGCGCCAGGCCCCAGCCGCCGCCGACUCGGCGCUCACUUUAAUACUGCGCGGGGCCCCGGCGCCCAGGGGCGCCUCGCUCCCCGCCCCCUGCCCAUCCCAUCGGGGCCCUUGGCCUGGGGACCCCCCGCCCCGGCUUUGUGUGGUGGCCUCGUCACCGGCGCUGCCCCCGGCACGUCACAAAUCCGGGGAGAGGCCGGCCGGCCCGUCGCCCCGGCCUGCGAGAGUGUGCCUCCCCGGGAGCCGGCCUUGCUGGGACGCGCGGCCCUGCGCGCCACCUCCGCCCCCCUCGGGUUCCCGGGGAUGCUCGCGCUGGAGACGCGGAGAGCAAUAGGCCGUUCGGAGUUCGUCGACUCUCUGGGUGUCUACACUCUGAGAGACUUUUCAUUUUCUUUUUUAACAGCGCAGUUCCUCUUUCCAACCUGAUUACCUCGCACGACCUGGCUGGCCUGUCCUCUGCGGACUCCCGUUACCCUGGAGUUCUUAAAGGCGUUAAGCUGUUUUCCAGCUUGGUAUUUCUUUCUUAAUUCUGCUGAGACUGUAAUCAAAACUCGCGGCAGGGCUUAGCCUGGCGCCCGUGGGGGUACUAAGAAGUUCGAAGGAUUACAGGGUGGCCUGAAGGAGAAGGGACUGGUUAGGAGGGGCCCGCGUUUGGGGCUGCUUGCCGUACAGUGUGAGGAUUGAGGCCAUGAUGCAGGAAAUCACAGCGACACCAAAAAGCUCCCCGUAUGUAAGUGACAGACAUAUUGCAAAGUCAAAGUCAGGGCAAGCUUUUAAGUAUAGUACAGACUCCUAAGAGUUAGGAGUCCACCUUCCGGCUCAAGGUGGAGAGCUUCGCCACUGUCUGACGCAUGAUCCCGGGAGUAGGCUUGACCAUUUUGGUGUCAGGAGACUCCAGUAUUUCGCGCAUCAGGACCUCUCUAACUGUGAUGGCAGGACUCUGGGAAACUAACUGAAGAAUUGCCGCUUUUUCCUUUGACUCGUGCACCAAGAUUUGUUGCAUUCACAAAAGGAUAAGAGAGCAACCAGGGUCACGUCUACUCCAGGAUCAACUCCUGCGUGCUGUCUAUAGGCCCUGCAGAGGCUCUGGCAAUGGCUUUCAGCUGAGAUUGAAAUCAGAGCUUAGAAUCCAUCAUAAGAGGUUUUCUCUGUUCCACUGGAGGUUUACUUUAAAGAGGACUGCCACAAUGGGUACCCACCCCAGAGUGGGGCCCCAUACUUUCUCCUAGCCUUUGCCCGUGCUGGUUCUCUGCCUGGAUACUGCUAUCUUGGAGUUUUGACCACAGGAUCUUGGGAAGAAGACCUCAAGCCUCAGAUGACACCUCAGCCCUACCAAAACCUUGAUUUCAGCCUUGUGAGACUCUGAGCAGUGAGCCUACUUGGUCCUUACAUGGACUUUUGAUUUACACAACAGAAAAAUAAAUGGGUAUUGUUUUA